AAAGAUUCAGGAUACCUUCGGGACCCGUCUUGAAACACGGACCAAGGAGUCUAACAUAUGUGCAAGUUAUUGGGAUGUAAACCUAAUAGCGUAAUUAACUUGACUAAUAAUGGGAUUAGUUUUUUAGCUAUUUAUAGCUAAUUAACACAAUCCCGGGGCGUUCUAUAUAGUUAUGUAUAAUGUAUAUUUAUAUUAUUUAUGCCUCUAACUGGAACGUACCUUGAGCAUAUAUGCUGUGACCCGAAAGAUGGUGAACUAUACUUGAUCAGGUUGAAGUCAGGGGAAACCCUGAUGGAAGACCGAAACAGUUCUGACGUGCAAAUCGAUUGUCAGAAUUGAGUAUAGGGGCGAAAGACCAAUCGAACCAUCUAGUAGCUGGUUCCUUCCGAAGUUUCCCUCAGGAUAGCUGGUGCAUUUUAAUAUUAUAUAAAAUAAUCUUAUCUGGUAAAGCGAAUGAUUAGAGGCCUUAGGGUCGAAACGAUCUUAACCUAUUCUCAAACUUUAAAUGGGUAAGAACCUUAACUUUCUUGAUAUGAAGUUCAAGGUUAUGAUAUAAUGUGCCCAGUGGGCCACUUUUGGUAAGCAGAACUGGCGCUGUGGGGAUGAACCAAACGUAAUGUUACGGUGCCCAAAUUAACAACUCAUGCAGAUACCAUGAAAGGCGUUGGUUGCUUAAAACAGCAGGACGGUGAUCAUGGAAGUCGAAAUCCGCUAAGGAGUGUGUACCACUCACCUGCCGAAGCAACUAGCCCUUAAAAUGGAUGGCGCUUAGAUUGUAUACCUAUACAUUACCGCUAAAGUAGAUGAUUUAUAUUACUUGUGAUAUAAAUUUUGAAACUUUAGUGAGUAGGAAGGUACAAUGGUAUGCGUAGAAGUGUUUGGCGUAAGCCUGCCUGGAGCUGCCAUUGGUACAGAUCUUGGUGGUAUUAGCAAAUAAUCGAAUGAGACCCUGGAGGACUGAAGUGGAGAAGGGUUUCGUGUGCACAGUGGUUGAUCACGAGUCACUCGGUCCUAAAGUUCAAGGAGAAAGCCCAAGAUUUUCAAGUAAUACUAACAUGUCUUUCUAUAUCAAGUAAAACAUUAUAAUACCCUUGAUUCAUUUUUAACGAAAGGAAGUACGGUACGUAUUCCGUAACCGGCUGAAAAUCCGUUUG
rnacentral:ncRNA from 1 species